rnacentral:rRNA from 1 species
UCGGGAAUUUUGGGCAAUGGGCGCAAGCCUGACCCAGCAACGCCGCGUGAAGGAUGAAGUUUUUCGGAAUGUAAACUUCACAAGACGGGGAAGAAUAAGGAGAGGCUAAUACCUUUUCCGAUGACGGUACCCGUUGUAAGCUCCGGCUAACUCCGUGCCAGCAGCCGCGGUAAUACGGGGGGAGCAAGCGUUGUUCGGAUUUACUGGGCGUAAAGGGCGCGUAGGCGGUCGGACAAGUCGGUUGUGAAAUCUUCGGGCUCAACCCGGAGCGGCCAACCGAUACUGUCCAACUUGAGUGCGGAAGGGGCAACUGGAAUUCUCGGUGUAGCGGUGAAAUGCGUAGAUAUCGAGAGGAACACCUGUGGCGAAGGCGGGUUGCUGGGCCGACACUGACGCUGAGGCGCGAAAGCCAGGGGAGCGAACGGGAUUAGAUACCCCGGUAGUCCUGGCCUUAAACGAUGGAUGCCUGGUGUCCGAGGUUAGAUAGUCCUCGGGUGCCGUCGCUAACGCAUUAAGCAUCCCGCCU